ACGAACGCUGGCGGCAGGCUUAACACAUGCAAGUCGAGCGCCCCGCAAGGGGAGCGGCAGACGGGUGAGUAACGCGUGGGAAUCUACCCAUCUCUACGGAACAACUCCGGGAAACUGGAGCUAAUACCGUAUACGUCCUUCGGGAGAAAGAUUUAUCGGAGAUGGAUGAGCCCGCGUUGGAUUAGCUAGUUGGUGGGGUAAUGGCCUACCAAGGCGACGAUCCAUAGCUG
rnacentral:rRNA from 14 species